ACCAGCGACGGUGUCGUCGCCAGAGCACGGCGGAGCCGCCGUGCCGGAGUUGCGAUAUUGGCCGAAAGGGGCCCUGGGCCUAAUUUGGAAUUUUUUGGAACACGUGCAGGUAUCAGUAGUGCGUUUCAGUUCCCCGAGAAAAAAUUCAGGAAAAAUUAGGGACAGCCUGUAGGCGCACUGUGAAGCCGUGUUCGGACCCCGAAACGAGUAAGGACCCCUCACCUUAUUUCCUAUCACGGUUUUAAAGUUCAAU
rnacentral:lncRNA from 1 species